CUUUCCAAGGGGCCUAUCACUCAAGUUACCAUAUUAAAACCCUGAAGAAUGGAUCAUUUCUUGGUUCCCUAUUGAGUGUCAGAGUUGUCCUAUGAAACCUGGCAGCCUGCUCGAGAGUCAACAUGCUUAAUUUGAUGGAAAAUGGUUAAGUUACAAAUCAUCUGAGUAACUCAAGAGGAAACAGCUUUUUAGUGGCAGCAAGAGGAGACCUGAAUCUGAAAGUUAAAGACAGCCCCAUUCUGGACUUGGAGACGAAAGGAGGAUCAAGACUAUGUUACUUAUGUUUCAUACAUAAUACAAUGUCUGAAACUAAAGGCACCUUCUGGACUGUGAGAGGAAGGGAGGCCAAGUCUGCGUUACUUAUGCUCCACAUAUAACAUGAUGUCAGACUUUUAGUUGAAAGUAAAUGACAGACAUUUUGAAUGAAUGAAUGAGUGGAUAAAAGAAUGAAGGUAGUUAGGAGAGAAGGUGGAAAGAAGGAAGGAAGUUAAAAGGAGAGGAAAUGAAAGUGGAAAGAAGACAAGAUGGGAGUGAUUGUGAGAAUGAACUUGGGCCUGAUCAAGGAGAUGCUUGACCUCGACCUCCUAUGGAGCUUAUAAUAGGACUUAGUUAACAAUUUAAGAAAGUUGCAAACAACUCAUGUGAAAAACAAAAGCUGGAAGCACACAGGCAUCUCCAUAUAGAGGGGAACGACAGAAGAAACUUCAACCCAGAAGUGGUUAUGGGGAAAAGGCAUAGCACUAACAAUGUCUCUAAACACACCCGCAACCUCAUUCUGUAUACACCCUUGACUUUCUAACCAUCUGGUAUUUGGAGCCUUAGUAAAAGAACAAUAGCAAAAAAUAAAGUCACCUGAGACAACUUCUA